rnacentral:rRNA from 1 species
AAUGAACGUUGGCGGCGUGGAUUAGGCAUGCAAGUCGAGCGGAAAGGCCCGCAAGGGCACUCGAGCGGCGUAAGGGACAGUAAUGUGUAGGUAACGUACCCCUGGGUCUAGGAUAGCUGCGGGAAACUGCAAUUAAUACUAGAUAACGUCUCCGGACCAAAGGUGUGAUUCCACCUGGGGCGCGGCCUACACCCUAUUAGCUAGUUGGCGAGGUAAUGGCUCACCAAGGCGAAGAUGGGUAGCAGGUGUGAGAGCACGACCUGCGUCACUGGGACUGAGACACUGCCCAGACACCUACGGGUGGCUGCAGUCGAGAAUCUUCGGCAAUGGGCGAAAGCCUGACCGAGCGACGCCGCGUGUGGGAUGAAGGCCUUCGGGUUGUAAACCACUGUCGGAGGGGAUGAAGUGUUAGUGGGUUCUCCCAUUAACUUGACUGAUCCUCGGAGGAAGGGUGGGCUAAGUUCGUGCCAGCCGCCGCGGUAAGAC